CCACUCUAAAAACCUUUUCUUUCCUCCUUUAUGUGAGAUAAUUUAUACAUUCUCCCCCUCCCUUUCCUUUCAUCCCAGUGCAUUCCUCUUUCUCACUCCUUAACUAUUUUUUAGAUAGAUAUUAUCCCUUUAUAUUCAACUCAUACCUGUGCCCUCUGUCUACACAUACUCCUAACUACCCAAAUAAUGAGAAAGUUUUUAUGAGUUACAAAUAUCAUUUUCCCAUGUAGGAAUGUAAACACUUUUACUUAUUAAGCCCCUUAUGUCCUUUCAUGGUUAUCUUUUCAAUGUUUCUUUUGAGUCUUGUAUUUGAAAAUCAAAUUUUCUAUUCAGCACCAUUCUUUUUAUCAAGAAUGCUCAAAAGUACUCUAUCUCAUUCAAUGUCCAAUUUUCUCCCUGAAGGAUUAUAUUCAGUUUUGAUGCGUUCAUGACUCUUGGUUAUAAUUCUAGCUCUUCUGCCCUUCAGAAGCUGCUAAAUCUUGCUCUAUCCUAACUGUGGCUUCAUGAGACUUGAAAUGUUUUCUUUUGGCUGUUUUGCUAAUUUUUAUUAAUAUCUACUAAUAUUCUCUCCUUGACCUGUGAGCUCUGGAAUUUGUCUAUAAUAUCCUUGGGAAUUUUCAUUUUGAGAUCUCUUUCAGCAGGCAACUGGUAGAUUCAAUUUCUAUCAGUACAAUUUCCUUGAAAAUUUCUUGAAAGAUUAUUUCUAGGUUCUUUUUUUAUAUCAUGGUUUGCAGGUAAUCCAAUAAUUUAAAAAUUCUCUCUCCUGGAACUACUUUUUAGGUCAGCUAUAAAUUUCCAAUGAGAUAUUUCACAGUGUCUUCUAUUUUUUUUUUUUUUCAGUUUUUUGGUUUUGCUUUACUGUUUGUUGAUUUCUUAUAGUUAGCUUCCAUAUGCUAAAUUCUACUUUUUAAGGAUAGUUUUUUUUCCUUCAGUGAGCUUUUUCCACUUGGCCAAUUCUACUUUUUAAUGAGUUUUGUUUUCAGUGAAUUUUUGUGCCUCUUUUUCCAUUCUGCUUUUUAAAGGCAUUCUUCUCACUGACUUUUUGUACCUCUUUUUAUUAUUUGACUUAUUCUGUUUUUUAAAGUGUCAUUUUUCUCUUCAGUAUUUUUUGUGUCUCCUUUAUCAAGGUGUUCAUGAUUUUCUUGCAUCACUUUAAUUUCUUUUUCCAUUUGAUUUUCAGAAUCCUUUUUGAGCUCUUCUAUGUUCUGAGACCAAUUCAUAUCUUUUCUUGGAGACUUCAGAUGUUAGAACCUUUGACUUUGUUAUCAUUUUCUGAGCAUGUGUUUUGAUCUUCCUUGUCACCAUAGUAAUUUUCUGUGGUCAGAAUAUUUUUCUCUUUGUGAUUUCCCCAAUCUAUUUCUUUACUUUUAACUCUUUGUGAAAGUGGAAUAACGCUUUCAGGGUGAAAGACGCAUUGUCCCAGGCUUCAGAGGUCAUGUGCAGCUGUUUUCAGACACUUCUAGGGAUCUGCAAAUUUUCAGUUCUUCCACGGUAAUAUCAUCUAAAGAGAGGUGUGUUUACUACUCUGGUCUGUGGGUGAUCAGAAGCGCUCUUUUGUGCUUGGAAACGUGCGGGUCCCCAUCGCACCGUGGUCAUAAGCUGCUGGGCUCCUGCUGCCCUCACCCCAGGACUGCCAUGUGGGACUGUGACUCGGGUCUGAGGAUGAGUCCUGCCCCCAUGCCAGUAAAGAGACCCCUGCCAUCCUUCCGACCAUCUGUGGGCUGAGCUCCAGAAGCCGCCUCUGUUGCAGCCGGUGCCGUUUCUCCACGGCCUGUGGGCCCGGACCGUGCUGGACCAGGUUCCGCUCUCACUCAGGGCUGACACCUUUCCUGCUGACCUUUCAAGCUGUCUUCUGCUGGAAAAUGCUUCUCUCUGCCCUUCUGUGGGUUCUGCCAUUCCAGGAAUUGUUCUGUCCACACUCUGGCCAAAGGCCACCAAGAGGUCGAAAUCUGACAGUUCCAAGUGAACUGGACUGAACCAGAACAAAGUACAAACUCCAGCAGCUGAAGCUCUCCAGAACACAACGCUGCCAGCAUAACAGUCUAACGUUCCCCCCUGGAAGGGCAGCCUUAGAGAGACAAGCGAGAGGGUGGGAGGCCAUUUGAGAGCUGGAGAAUGAGCUUGACUCCCAUGGCUGAACUCCUGGCCAGUUGUCUCAGCAAAACAAAGGGAUGUCAGCCACAGGUUUCCCGGAACCCCACACAGGCUGUGGCACACCUGCGAGGGGCCAUGCUUUUGCUUAACAAGUUUCAAGAAGGGGGAACCUAUUACUUCCAGAGUAGCUCUAAUUACUGAACCUAAAAUCUGUCUUUAUGUCACUCCUCUGGCCUCCCGACUAAUAACCUCUUGCUUUUAGAUUGUCUUCUAGGGCCAAGAAGAACAAGCCUCAUUCCUCUUCCAUGGGAUGGACCUUUUAAUAACUCUAAAAGUUAUCAUGUCUUUCCUAAGUCUUCACUUAUUUCUCCAAGCUAAACAUUCCCACUUCCUUCCCCCCCAGACCUUGAGACUCCAUUUUUUGACUGCCUUUCUCUAGAUACUCUUUGGUCUCCCUCCACAUCUUUCUUCAAAUGAGCCCCUCCCCAACCUCUUCCUUCCCUGUAGAUUUAUAUUCUGACCAGGCCAGAGCCCAGUGGAAUUAUGACCUCUCUCUUUUUGGACACCAUCCCUCUUAAUGCAGCCUAAGGUUACUUUAGCUUCCUAGGGCACAAUACCACAAUGUUGACUCAUACUGAGCUUCCCAGAUCUUUUUCAAAUUAGUAUGCAAUCAUGCCUCCCACAUUUCUACCAGGAAGAACAUUUUCUGAACUUGGUAUAAGAUUCUACAUUCAGCCCUUCUAGAUCAGACCCCAUUAGAUUAAGUUGAUCCAGCUGAUGAGGUUUUGGAUCUGACACUGCUGCCAAUAAAUCCUUCUCAGAUUUAUGCCAUUUGCUAAUUUCAUUGGUGUUCCUAUCAUUAAUAACAAUAUUAAUGGUAACAAUUAAUAACUAGUGUUAUGGAGCAUUUUAAGGUUUACCAGGUAUGGUACAGGUUAACUCAUUUUAUCCUCACAGCACUCUUGGGAAACGGGUGCUAUUAUUAUCCCCAUUAUACAGAUGGGGGAACUUAGGUGACUUGUCCAAGAUCUCACAGCCAAUAGGUGGCUGAGGCAAGAUUUGAAUUCGGGUCUUCCUGAUAUCAAAUUCAGUAUUCUUAUCUAUUUUACCACCUAGCUGCCUAGUAGAACAGGGUCAGUCACAUAUCCUUGUUCACUUCACUGGAGGAGGAAUCCUUCCAAGUUGAUGGAAAAAAAAAUGAGAAGGAGCUAUGAUCUAAUCAGUGUAGGCAACUCAAUGUAGAGGGAACUCCACAUUUGAACUUUUAUCCCAAAUUGAAGCCCAUCUACAAGUUGGUAGACAAGUCCUAUGGAAUUCCCUGAAGCAGAGGUUUACACACCUAGGGCCAGAUGGGGAAUCUGAAUUCAGGUGUUCUCCACUCCAAACCCAGCACUCUAUCUGCUAUGUACACUGACAUUUUCCAAGGUGACACUAAAAUAUUCUGGAGUCCAGCAAUUCAAUCAGUUCUGCAUCUCCCUAAUUACUCAGCUUACACCUAAUUUGUCUUGAAGAAAAGGUCAACUCC
rnacentral:lncRNA from 1 species